rnacentral:lncRNA from 12 species
CCUUCCUUCCAGAUCAUUAGCGGGAGAUGAACAAUCCGGAGAUUCCAAGAGUCUGAAGCUUAAUCAAAGAAUCUGGUCUUCUGGCCCGGACAGAGCAUCACACGUUCCAGGGCUCCGAUUGCCCAGGUCCACGGACCCUGGGAGCCCAGGCGAAGGCCUCUGACGGUUUUCAGUAAUGCAGUUCUGCAUUCCAGAGAAUUCCACUCCUGCUCCCCCGCUCCAGCCAUACCCUACAUUGGAAGCAAACCACACGUGCACGGGAGGCGUAAGGUAGCUCAGCGACCUGAUAUUCAGAUUGGUGUCCUUUACGUGAGUUUCAGAUCUGCCUCGUGGCCCACGUCGUCCAGAUAACUGAGUAUGGUUCAGGCACAGGUGAGUGAAGGGGGUGGAUGCAAGGCACCUGGACGUUGUGGUAGCCUCAAUGAGCUGGCCGGGGCAUGCUGGCCCCAGAGGAAACUCAACAUCUGCUUUUCCUUCCUCCCUCCCUCCUUCCUCGCCACCUCCCACAGUCCACCUUUUCCUCCCGCCACGGAUGCUUCUUAAGCUGCACCCUUCCUAUAUCCCAGCUAUCGCAGCAGGCCCCCGACAGUACAAGGCAGCAAUGAUGUGGCUUUUGCCUGUUAGGAGCGCCAGGCUCACUAGAGCUCGUGAUUUGUCCAAGUGGAGCUGUGAUUACGUGUAUGUCUUCUGGACCAUUGUUUCUACAUCCCUGACCCUGGGGGCUUUGCAGAGCCUGCUGGCUGCUUUGAUGAAGGAUCAGGUAGAGGCUGACAACAGGAAACCAACUGACUCGUUUUCCAAGUGAGCCACGCAUUCACCUACUGCAGGAGCUCGGAGCUGUCAGCAGUUUGCAGAUGCACAGGCCGCAGGAGAUCUCAUUUCUCUUCCUAAAACGCUCGGCCUUCUCCAAAGCGCCUUCCCACGGCAUGUCCGGCCGUGCCCACAGGUGUGCCUUCUGUGCACGUUCCUGGACGUGCCUGGGCCUCCAGCGGUGUGAGAAGCCAGGUAGGUAGUGGCGGCUGGGUGACCACUGGCAGGGCCAGGGCCGUUGGAGGUCACCUCCAGGCCCCAUGUCACCAGGGUUGUGGAGGUCACCUCCAGGCCGCAUGUCACUGGGGCUAUGAAAGUCACCUCUAGGCUGCAUCUCACCCAAGCAGGUGGUGGCGCUGGGGGACCUGCUCCGGGCCACAGCCCCCCCCCCGCGCUGGUGUGAAUGGAAGGAGAGUGAUUGCAAGUGUCAAAGGCCGGCAGCGUUUGCCAAAUCAUGGGCUUUUUAAAAACAUAUCCAUGGACUACACGAAGAGUUUGGCCUUAUAAAAAGGAUCGUGUAAGUACCGUAGUCUUUUAUCCAGAAUGUUGUUAAGGACUUUUUAUUAAAAAUUAAGAUGCUUUAGAAACCACAUAAAAUUUUAAAAGGCUCUACCUCUCCACUUGGCCCUUGCCAGGGCACCUCGGGGGGAGACGGUGCGAUGCCCCAACAGUCGGGGAGGCCCGCGGAGGGACGCUGUGCGCUGCAGUCUGUCCCCAGAGUGGCCGCAGUGGUUCCCCGGCCAGGCGUCCCCCUCCUCCCUGGCUCACCCGGCCCCCUGGGGGCUCUCCGGGGUUGGCGGGGUGCUCCUGUAGACCAUGCACCCAAGUCCAGAUUGGACCUCACGUCCGUCAAGACCAAGGGGCAGGUCUCUUGGUUCAGGUCGACUCAGCCCGGGGGCGGCGGUUCCUUCCGUGGGCUCCAGCAUCCGCCCUGGCUUCCUCCCUGCCGGGCCUGCUGACGGCCGCGGGGCCUGGGCUUGUCCUGGAUGCACUUCCUUUUACAGUCAGGAGGUCCUGUGCCAUGCUGGGUGCUGUUCUAUGGCUCGGAGCUGGGUAGUCCGCCCCCGCCCCCUCGGACGCCCCGUCCUGGCCCUGCCGUGAUGCGGGCCUUGGAGCGUUGGAGCGCUCACCAUGUUGGGGGCCACUUGCCACCAUCACUGGAGUCCCCCUUCUCUUGGAUGCCCUUCCAUCUCUUUUGUGUUUCUCUAACUCCUUCAGCAAGACCGCAGGCCCAGGGUGUAAAAGCGCAUCUUCCCCUCCUCUCUCUCCCUGUGAUGGGUUCAAUUUCCCUUACCAACAGCUCUCGAGUUUGAAAGACCUGAAAACUCUGACUUUGUCCUUUGCUGAAAUUCUCUUUUUUGUUUUUGCUCGUAGGGAACCAAGGGAUGCUUUUAACCAUUCUGACACACUCAGGAAUUUUCUGGCUUGCUGCUGCUGUGUGUGUGUGUGUGUUUCAUUCAGUAAAUUAGAGGAAUCUCUUCCUUGUAAUUGAGGAGCCCUUCUUUGUGCGAGAUAGUGUCCUAGGUGCUGGUGAUUCGGAGAAGACCCAGGUCCUGGCGGGAAGAGCUUGCAGGCCGGUGGGGAGACCCAUAAUGACACAUCCUCCACCGCGCUGGGGGGAUGGUGGGGAGGAGUCGGAGGGAGUUGUGCGGGAUGCUCCGUCUCGUCUCGUACCAGAGAGCAGGUCAGUGAAUUCAGCAAAAGGUGGGAGGUGAGGGCAAGUGUCACCAACAAGUGCUGGUUGACCUGAGUUCCAGAGCAUGAUGAGGCAUCAGCCACGGCAUCCGUGGCGGAGAGAGCAGCACGGGCACCGGCCUGGAAGCGUGAAAGAGGGUUGAUGGUGUCCAGUCUGCUUAUGAACCUUGUCCAAGAUCCGAUCGCCUGGCCUUUACGCAGUUUCUUGCCCGCCGUACAAGCAGAAUGUGCUUUGAGCGGGUGAUCAGGGGAGGUCAAGGCCUGCCCGGCUGGUGUGAGGGACUCAGGGGCUGGGUAGGGAAGGGUUAGUCACUUGAAAGUUUUGUGUGCUGAGACAAGGCUCUUAAAGGAGCUCUGGGGUUUUUACAGGGGAGAAAGUGCUUAAAGGCAGAUUAUGCAGCCAACGGUGAGCCAGUAAAUGGUUUCACUGGGGCCAAUACUGGGAUAUUUUGGCAGCCCUCUUUAUUGGGCGUGGGGCUCUCUGGCUAUUCAAUACCAUUGUGAAUCUCCUUGCGAAUGCCCAUGAGGGGUUAGGGUGAAAAUAUAGAGCUUUUAAGUAUUUUAACGUGAUUUCAAUUGCAUUUUAAUUUUUAAUAAAACUUUUAAUAAAGUUCUGCUUUAGGAGCCA